UACGUAGGGUGCGAGCGUUGUCCGGAAUUAUUGGGCGUAAAGAGCUUGUAGGCGGUCUGUCGCGUCUGCUGUGAAAAUCCGGGGCUCAACCCCGGACUUGCAGUGGGUACGGGCAGACUAGAGUGUGGUAGGGGAGACUGGAAUUCCUGGUGUAGCGGUGAAAUGCGCAGAUAUCAGGAGGAACACCGGAUGGCGAAGGCAGGUCUCU
rnacentral:rRNA from 1 species